rnacentral:rRNA from 1 species
CCUACGGGUGGCAGCAGUGGGGAAUAUUGCACAAUGGGGGAAACCCUGAUGCAGCGACGCCGCGUGAGUGAAGAAGUAAUUCGUUAUGUAAAGCUCUAUCAGCAGGGAAGAAAAUGACGGUACCUGAGUAAGAAGCCCCGGCUAACUACGUGCCAGCAGCCGCGGUAAUACGUAGGGGGCAAGCGUUAUCCGGAUUUACUGGGUGUAAGGGGAGCGUAGACGGCAGUGCAAGUCUGGGGUGAAAGGCGGGGGCUCAACCCCCGGACUGCUCUGGAAACUGUACGGCUGGAGUGCGGGAGAGGAUAGUGGAAUUCCUGGUGUAGCGGUGAAAUGCGUAGAUAUUAGGAGGAACACCAGGGGCGAAGGCGACUUACGGGAAUGUAACUGACGUUGAGGCGCGAAAGCGUGGGGAGCAAACAGGAUUAGAUACCCGAGUAGUC